rnacentral:rRNA from 1 species
AUUGAACGCUGGCGGCAGGCCUAACACAUGCAAGUCGAGCGGAUGAAGGGAGCUUGCUCUUGGAUUCAGCGGCGGACGGGUGAGUAAUGCCUAGGAAUCUGCCUGGUAGUGGGGGAUAACGUCCGGAAACGGGCGCUAAUACCGCAUACGUCCUGAGGGUGAAAGUGGGGGAUCUUCGGACCUCACGCUAUCUGAUGAGCCUAGGUCGGAUUAGCUAGUUGGUGGGGUAAAGGCCUACCAAGGCGACGAUCCGUAACUGGUCUGAGAGGAUGAUCAGUCACACUGGAACUGAGACACGGUCCAGACUCCUACGGGAGGCAGCAGUGGGGAAUAUUGGACAAUGGGCGAAAGCCUGAUCCAGCCAUGCCGCGUGUGUGAAGAAGGUCUUCGGAUUGUAAAGCACUUUAAGUUGGGAGGAAGGGCAGUAAGUUAAUACCUUGCUGUUUUGACGUUACCAACAGAAUAAGCACCGGCUAACUACGUG